rnacentral:rRNA from 1 species
CGGGGGAUCUUCGGACCUCGCGCUAUUGGAGCGGCCGAUGUCGGAUUAGCUAGUAGGUGAGGUAAAGGCUCACCUAGGCGACGAUCCGUAGCUGGUCUGAGAGGAUGAUCAGCCACACUGGGACUGAGACACGGCCCAGACUCCUACGGGAGGCAGCAGUGGGGAAUUUUGGACAAUGGGCGCAAGCCUGAUCCAGCCAUGCCGCGUGAGUGAAGAAGGCCUUCGGGUUGUAAGGCUCUUUCAGGUGGAAAGAAAUAGCGCUGUUUAAUAGAUGGCGUUGAUGACGGUACCACCAGAAGAAGCACCGGCUAACUACGUG